AUAUCGAAAACGUAAGGAAAUUACAAAGUGUCUAAGAAUGGCUGAAAUAUCUUCAGAAACUGUUGUGGCACCGAAAGUCGCCUACCCGAAAACGAUAACUAAGAUGACUAACUAAAAGAGCACUGUACUAUGAAGGACUUGGUUUUGAAAUAAACUGUUCAGCUGGGUUUUUAAUUUAUUAAAACCAUAUCGGGAAAUAUUAAUGUUAGUUGCAUAUCCUAAAGGAACCACUGAACUUGAAAACAUGGUUUCAGGUUUGAUUGAUAGCUGUAAUGGCACCGCUUUAGGCCCGGCUUGAAGCUUCGCAUCCUUUUCUGGCCAGAGGAACUCACCACAGAGUCCUUGCAGCGAAGCUUUCACUCAUUGCUCCUUGCUGCUGCACACUCGCGUUAUCCUGGCGAUGAGUGGCAGGAAAGCCGAGGACCUUCGGUUGACCGUCGUGUUUGGUCCUCGUCUGCUGGCCUUUAUUUCAUCUGGUCGUCGGUUCAUCUCCUGCUGAUGCCUUUGGCUUUGUGUAGCGCAACUCUUCCAUUUGAUUUCUUUGGGGGCUUCAUCCGUCCUUUCUACUGGCGACGUUCUGCCUUAGCCAAAGACCAGAAAGUGGGUCACUUCAACGAGCAGGACUCGAAUUCUUUGGCUCCAUCUGAGACUGCAACUCAAGCCGACUGAGUCCUGACUUCUGAGUCCUGUUCCUGUUAAGCAAACCAUGCUGGGGUCUGUGUCUCAGCACACAGAGGAAAAUAAUACAAAUAAUGCGUACUUUUAAAUGCUUACACUUCUUUUUUUUUUAAAUUUUGAACAUUUCAUGAAUAGGUGACAACUCUGGUUACGCUUAGCCAUUUUUCGUGUGUCUUUUCUUUCCUAAUCUCUGGUCACACUAUAGUUUACAUUUGGGAAGCUUAAAAAAAAAACAAAACCAUGGUGAUUCGCGAAUUGCUUGCUUUUUACCAAUAAGGGGCCCAAUCUAUGCGAUAAUUCCUGGGAAAUUUGCCACAAUGUAUUCCCAAAGAGGUAGCCGAAAUUUCAACAUCAUUUUGGGAUCAUUGAUCAACGGAAACCACGACGUUAGACUCGACAACGUAAUCACAAUUGCAAACGCCGCUACUAUUGAUCAACAAUGGAUUCCAAGCGAGGGCGUGAUUUCAGUGUAGCUAUGACAUCGAAUAAUUGAAGAUACAUCUCCAACUACAGCCGUGGAAUUUCUUCUCUAAGGAUCUGGUGAUAAUUAUGAAUUUGCCUUGCGAAUUCAUAAAAACCCUGCUCUGCGUUCCAAAUUAGUCAGCUAAAAAGCGAGAAUCGCCCCAUUUAGCCUAAGAAUAUGCAUUAAAGCUAAACUUCAUCCGCAUCUCCAACUUUGGCUCCAUCUUCAGCUCCAUCGUCGUCGCCUUGAAUUUUGCGUAGUUGUUUUGCCCCAAACCACCAACGCCCAGCCUUUUAACCCCUUAAUGCCUCCUUUGGCCGCCUUUUACUUGAGUUGUGUGCAACAUUUUAAUGAAAUUGUCGAAUCUUCUCGAGCAAUGAGUGGAGGUCGGCGAAGAAGUUGCAACUGGCACUGAAUUCGAUUUGAGGAAUCGCUGAAAUCUAUUACAUAAAUUUUAGGCAAACGCAUUUGCAAAUGUACGCAUUUGUAUAAGUGCAGUUGAAUACAAAUGUAUCUAGUGCACUUAGUUACAGAUAAAAAUGUCUUGUACAUUGUCAAAAUAAAUGUUCAUAUACUUCAUUUCAAAUGC
rnacentral:sRNA from 1 species